GGCCCCCCGCUGGCGCGGAGCGGCACAGCACAGCACAGCGGCGGAGAAAGGCCGCUGUGUCUUUCCAGGGGCAGAGCCGGAGGCGCGGCAGGGAGGAGGGGCAGAGCAGAGAGACCGCGGAGGCGGGACGGCGGCAGGGGCUGGCCGCGGAGAAGGAGCCGGCAGGGCGAGAGGCUGCUGCGGCCGGGCUCGGCAUGGUGCUGCUGGCGCCGAUGGGAGUGAGCGGCUCGGGGAAAUCCACUGUUGGGUCACAGCUGGCAGCUAAGCUGGGAUGGAAAUUCUAUGAUGCUGAUGAUUAUCAUCCUACAGAGAACACAAAGAAAAUGGCACAAGGAAUACCACUAAAUGACCAGGACAGGAUUCCAUGGCUUUGCAAAUUACAUGAUAUAUUAAUGAGAGAAGAGUCAGCUGGACAAAGUGUGAUUCUGGCCUGUUCGGCUCUGAAGAAAAUGUAUAGAUGCAUAUUAGUAAGUGGACGGGAUGCUGUGUAUUCUAAGAGUGAUCAGCUAGAGGAACAAGGAGACUCUGCCACAAGGAAGAUCCUUUUUAUCCAUUUGGAUGGAUCUAUGGAACUCAUCACCAGCCGCCUGGAGAAGAGGAGAGGACACUUUAUGGCACCCGAACUACUACAGUCUCAGUUUGAUAUACUGGAGCCUCCGUCAGCACCAGAAAACUUUAUCACUGUGAGUCUGGAAAAGUCUGUUUCUGAAAUAGUAUCUGAAAUUGAGAAAUAUCUUCACUUAAAGAAAUGCUUUUCCAGAGCAGUCUCUGAAUUAGAUGCACAUUAAUACUUUUAACCAUGUCGUAUUUGUGGAACAGCAUUUUGCUUGCUUUCUCAAGUUAACCAGCAUGGUUUGCAGUAUUAACUUCAUUGGCUUGACAUACUUUAAAGGGACUAGAACACUACUAUUACUGAUGUUUUCAUUAAGACCUGUUCAAACCUGGAGCUACAAUUUUCAGAAGUGAAUGGUAUUUGCCUAACUCUUUGUCCAUUUAAAUCACAGGCAAAACUCCCAUUGGCUUUGAUAGAAACAGGAGUAGGUCAACACCGAGUGCUUCUGACAAACCCACCCUAGGGGAUUUAGACAGAACAUGAAAAUCUCAACAAAUUUAGAUUUCACUUUUUUCCUGCCAAAACACAAAAUUGACCACAGUCUUCACUACUGAUAUUUAAGUGUUGAAUAGACACUUGAAAGGUGAACAUCCUUUUAAGAGGAGGCAGAGUUCUCUAAUAGUGCAGAGGGGCAGGAACUUGGACAGCAGAGUUCAGGUCCUGACUCCACCAUUAGCUCCAUGCCUGAUCUGGAACAAAUCACAACCUCUCUGUCUGUGUCCUCAUCUGUGAAAAUUGCUUACCUUACAGGGGUAUUGUGAGACUUCAUUGAUUCUGACUUAAACACCUUGAACUACUGUGGGAAAGAGGGCAUGUAACUGCAAAGUAUUAUUCUACCUAAAUCUUUAACAAUAAACUAAGUAGCACUGUAUUGACUGUGAUUUAGUCUUUCAUAUGCAAAAUAUAUAUACAAUGAAACAGGAGAGAGAAUGAUUCAGCCAAUGAGGUAAGAUUUAUGUACCACUGGGUUCAUCAGUUCAGACCUGAUGAAUGUUCUCUCCCUUCAGCUUGACUGGCAAGCAGCUGUUUAACAUGACUUUUUCUGGCACCCUCACCUGCUACCGUAAUAGCCUCACUCUAGCCUCUAAUGCUCAAGCUGUAUCACAAAGCCUGACUUCGCUGUAAUAAAAAUUCAGAGCUGGUGCGAGGAAGAGCCAUGGUGAAAACUCCCCUAAUAAGGGAGUAUCCCACUUCAAGUAGGUGGCGUGCACAUUGCUCCCCACAGACAGUCUUUGGAUUUCAUAGAUACACACAAGCAAUUAAUCAUAUUAUUUUCAGUGUCCCUCCCCAACUGAGCCAGUGAAUUAAGGUUCUUUGUUAGUCAUUUAAAAAUGUACACACCAAAGGCCGUGCUCCUUAUGAGAGUACUUAGAUUCAGAUGCAACUGUUCUUAAAAACUUGUUUACUUUCUCUUCAAUUUGUAAUGCUUUGUAGGCGUUAAAGUCCUUAUUAAAGUUAAGACUAUACAACUACGGUCUUGAGUAGUCUUAGUGGAGACAAUGGACUCCUCCUGUGUAAAGAUAUUCUCAUACAUAUGUGUUUGCAGGAUAAGGGCCUAGGACAGCUACAUACAAUCAUUACUCUCAAUCCAGUAUAUUCAUGGCCAGUCUAUUAAACAAAACUAUUGAACAACAACAAAAACCCUCAUUAGAACAAUAAGAUAAAAAUAAUUAAAUAUACUUGGAAAUUUUUGCAUAAAAAGUCACUUACAUAAUGCACAGAAUUUAAAGAAUAUGCAAGUGUGUUUAAUUUAUAUAUAUAUGUUUAAAAUACCGUUUAACAAUAGCUCAGUGAAUACUGGUUUGGACUUCCCAUACUACCUGAAACCAGCCCUCCACCCUGGUAUCUACCUCUUUAUUUUAACCUUGUAAGUCAUCAUAGGAUACAUUUUCUAUGAGAGAUGCUCUUCAAGAGAAGUAAUAUUAUGAAGAACCUUUUGAUAUAUUGCUUUGUAUAUAUUACCCCCAUUAGUGCUCUCCUCCCAAUUUAGGACCUUGAUUAACGCGACUAGCUCACUCCUUUUCAGGCAAGGAUGGUGGUGUUCAAAGACAUCUUUGGGGAAAUUAAUCGAAUCAUUAGCUGGGUUACCAGUUAAAAAUGUGUUUAUAGCUUUUUCUAAUAGAAGUUAGAUUUGCUCUUGUGGUACACCAAAGAAAUACUAACACUGCCUCCUUGGCACAAUGCUAUGAAUGAGCUUUGUGGACAGCAGUGAUAGAGAACUCCUCUUUACCAGACAAAUCAAAAACUGAUAACUAUCUGGUGGGUAUUUUCCCUGUAAGUGACACAGCCAAAAAUCAGACUGCAACAGACUGAUCCAUUUCUUUCUGUACUACUGUCUUGUAUAAAAUGCCCAUAAACCUAUUUAAUCCAACAUCUGUGUUCAAACUGUUUGCUUCAGUGUGAGGGAGUCCUGGACUAACAGCCAAUUCAUUUUAGAUUACUUUUUGCACAUCCUUCUUGUUUGUUAUAAGAAAAACAAAUUAGAAGCAGGCCCCAAUUAUAAGAUUAUGGUUCAGUGCAUCACAUUGAAAUGGCCAAAUGCAACAUUCCCAACACAUACUCAGGUAUUGUUGAGACCUAGAGUCUGGUUCAUGCCAACAUUAAAUUCAGGCAAAUGGCACCCUCUUGUGGUGAUUCCACUAGUUCAGAUCUACAUUUAAUAAAGUCACAGUUCUCCCAAUACAUGUACCCAGUGCAGUUCUAGAGGCAAAAGGCUUACUCUACCUACUACUGCACAGUGUUGAAGUUGUGCUUGGGUUUUAUCAAGUGAGGGCCAAAAAAAACAAAAAAAACCCACCCCAAUCACACAAUUCAGAACAUGUAACUGGUUUCCAAGUAGUAUGUCAGAUACAUCACAUCACAUAGUAUAUGAUCAAAAGUGAAAUUAACCCUCAGCCCUUCCCACCCAAAAACUAUAUUGGCUAAGAUUUUAAAUGAAUACCUAAAGUUAGAUUCCUAAGCAUUUACAUAGGCUCCUAGAUACAAGUGGCCUGAUUUCCAGAAGUGCUGAGCAUCCACAGAUUCCACUGAAGUCUUGGAUUCUCAGCACCUUUGAAAAUCAGUCCUCUUUUGUUUAACCCUAUAUUUAGGCACCCACAUUUGAAAGUCUGAACAGCUGUCUUUAUUAUUCCAACAAAAUGUUCUUUUUAAUUACAGUCCAGCUCAACCUCCUGAGGUCUGAGGCCUUUUUUCUGCAGCUGUAUUAGGAGAGCAGCAGCCAUUAGCCAAGAAGCAGUCACAUCCUCAUAUUUCCAUCUAAAUUACAUCAAAACAAUGUAAUUUGGGCUGUUACGAAGGGGCGCCUCCUAAUAGUAUCCACCAUCACAAAAUAAGCUGGGAAUCUCUUAAAAUGGUUAAAGAAAACUUUGCUUGAUGGCAUGCUGUCUGGCAAGAAAUCACUGAUCAACAGUUAGGGUGUGAAAUCUCUGCUUCUUUAUUGUUUUGCCUUUAUGGUCCCUACCUCUCUGUUGUUAUCUGAAUGGUCUCUGUCUGGUUCUUUGAUUGUUUCUGUCUGUUGCAUAACUAAUUUUGUAAGAUUUAAAAUCAACUAGGUGGUGAGUAAAGAAUGUCUGGUAAAGAAUUGUUUUAAAAUAUUAGAAAAUUGUUUAGUAAUAUUUUAGUAAAAUGAUUUGUUAAGGUACAGCUAAGCAGGACUCAAGUUUCAAUAUAUAAACUGGGGUCCAAAAGGAGAUUACUGGAACCAACUCAGGACACAGCCCCAAGAUCAGAGCUGCCAGACCUCAACACCCUGCUAAUCACACCAUGCAGAAGCUGGAGUCCCCGGAUGACCUGAUCCUGACUGGCCAUCAGGAAAAGUUCAUCUGCCUAUUAGGAGUGAUUAAAGCAAACACAGACUUCUGUUUCCAGUUCAAACAGCUAGCAAGAGGAAAAAACAUCAAACCAGCUAUCGAAGGAGCUCAGAUCCCAGUUGCAUCCUGCUACAGACUAACAGUGGCUAUAAAGAGUCUCCGCAGCCCUCCAGCACAUAUGAGAUCCCACCAAGAUUAGAGGAAUGUAUGAGGGAACCCAACAAGAAAUUUUUCAUUUUAAAAGAAGCCAGACAGCAAAAUUGAAAUGGCUGAACUGCAACUGAAUAGCAUCCUUCUCCCAGGGGAGUCUGCUGACCGGUUUAAGAACAUCUGUACCAAAAGCCGAUUGUUUUUGAAGUGACUACAGGAAGUGCUGCAUGUUUGAUGUGAUGUAAGGGAGCAAAGCAAGAUAAUCUGAUUGAGAAUCAUUUCCUUAAAAUAGUUCCUUCAACGUGUCAUUAACAGAUUGUUCUUGUAAAUGAAAUGAAGAGUUAAAUCCAAUGAUGCUGUGCUUUGGAGAUUUUUAAUAAACUCAUUGUUGGUUACUGAA